UUUUUUUUUAAUCUUUUUAACCUUUUUGUCUUUUUCUUUCAGAUUAUCCAGAGAUGGCACCAGGACUAGUGAAUGUUUUCUUAGGAUUAAAAACUUAUUCCCAUCUAAAUAAACCACUUAUAUUGGAUGCUAUACCUCUGCUCGUAUUUGUUGGACUACCUCAUGUCACAUAACACAUUACUCUCUCGCCGGAUCUGUGGAAAGAACAAUGAAGUUGAACAUCAUCUCCCUCCAUCACAGGAAGUACAGGGCUCUUAAGGAUCACACCAUGAGCUAAAAUAUUCACACCAGUACACUCCAGUGUCUUGUGGGUAAGCAUCGUCGAUGAUGCAGGAGGACCCGCGUUCCCAGCCAUACUGGCAUGUCUGAGCAGUCUGGGAUGUUGUGUUCCUCUUCACUAUCCAUCCACUGGAGUUCCCCACACAUCUCAGAGUGACACUGUCAUAUCGAAAGAACUGAGACCGGUCGGGAGCAACGUUCAUCUG